GAUGAACGCUGGCGGCAUGCCUAAUACAUGCAAGUCGAACGAGAGGAAGGAAAGCUUGCUUUUCUGAAUCUAGUGGCGAACGGGUGAGUAACACGUAGGUAACCUGCCCAUGUGCCCGGGAUAACUUCUGGAAACGGAUGCUAAAACCGGAUAGGUAGCAGACAAGCAUUUGACUGCUAUUAAAGUGGCUAAGGCCAUGAACAUGGAUGGACCUGCGGUGCAUUAGCUAGUUGGUGAGGUAACGGCCCACCAAGGCGACGAUGCAUAGCCGGCCUGAGAGGGCGGACGGCCACAUUGGGAAUGAGACACGGCCCAAACUCCUACGGGAGGCAGCAGUAGGGAAUUUUCGUCAAUGGGGGGAACCCUGAACGAGCAAUGCCGCGUGAGUGAGGAAGGCCUUCGGAUCGUAAAGCUCUGUUGUAAGAGAAAAACGACAUUCAUAGGGAAUGAUGAGUGAGUGAUGGUAUCUUACCAGAAAGUCACGGCUAACUACGUGCCAGCCGCCGCAGUAA
rnacentral:rRNA from 1 species